rnacentral:rRNA from 1 species
GAAAGCUUUCGCGGUGCGAGAUGGGGUCGCGGCCCAUCAGGUAGUAGGUGGGGCAGCAGCCCACCUAGCCUACGACGGGUAGCCGGACUGAGAGGUCGAUCGGCCACAUUGGGACUGAGAUACGGCCCAGACUCCUACGGGAGGCAGCAGUGGGGAAUAUUGCGCAAUGGGGGAAACCCUGACGCAGCAACGCCGCGUGCGGGAUGAAGGCCUUCGGGUUGUAAACCGCUUUCAGCAGGGAAGAGACAGACGGUACCUGCAGAAGAAGCCCCGGCUAACUACGUGCCAGCAGCCGCGGUAAUACGUAGGGGGCGAGCGUUAUCCGGAUUCAUUGGGCGUAAAGCGCGCGCAGGCGGACCGUUAAGCGGGACCUCUAAUCCUGGGGCUCAACCUCAGGCCGGGUCCCGAACUGGCGGUCUCGAGUGCGGUAGGGGAGGUCGGAAUUCCCGGUGUAGCGGUGGAAUGCGCAGAUAUCGGGAAGAACACCGAUGGCGAAGGCAGACCUCUGGGCCGACACUGACGCUGAGGCGCGAAAGCUAGGGGAGCGAACAGGAUUAGAUACCCUGGUAGUCCUAGCCGUAAACGAUGGACGCUAGGUGUGGGGG